AUUCCCCUAGUAACUGCGAGUGAAGCGGGAAAAGCUCAAAUUUAAAAUCUGGCGGUCUCUGGCCGUCCGAGUUGUAAUCUAGAGAAGUAAUGCCCGUGCUGGACCGUGUAUAAGUCUCCUGGGAUGGGGCGUCAUAGAGGGUGAGAAUCCCGUCUUUGACACGGACUACCAGUGCAUUGUGGUACGCUCUCAAAGAGUCGAGUUGUUUGGGAAUGCAGCUCAAAAUGGGUGGUAAAUUCCAUCUAAAGCUAAAUAUUGGCGAGAGACCGAUAGCGAACAAGUACCGUGAGGGAAAGAUGAAAAGAACUUUGGAAAGAGAGUUAAACAGUACGUGAAAUUGCUGAAAGGGAAACGCUUGAAGUCAGUCGCGUUGGCCGGGGAUCAGCCUUGCUUUUGCAUGGUGUACUUUCUGGUUGACGGGUCAGCAUCAAUUUUGACCACUGGAAAAAGACCUGGGGAAUGUGGCAGCUUCGGCUGUGUUAUAGCCCCUAGUCGCAUACAGUGGUUGGGAUUGAGGAACUCAGCACGCCGCAAGGCCGGGUUUCGACCACGUUCGUGCUUAGGAUGCUGGCAUAAUGGCUUUAAGCGACCCGUCUUGAAACACGGACCAAGGAGUCUAACAUGCCUGCGAGUAUUUGGGUGGAAAACCCAAGUGCGUAAUGAAAGUGAAAGUUGAGAUCCCUGUCGUGGGGAGCAUCGACGCCCGGACCAGAACUUUUGGGACGGAUCCGCGGUGGAGCAUGUAUGUUGGGACCCGAAAGAUGGUGAACUAUGCCUGAAUAGGGUGAAGCCAGAGGAAACUCUGGUGGAGGCUCGUAGCGAUUCUGACGUGCAAAUCGAUCGUCAAAUUUGGGUAUAGGGGCGAAAGACUAAUCGAACCAUCUAGUA
rnacentral:rRNA from 1 species